rnacentral:rRNA from 1 species
GCUGCGUAGGCAAAUCCGCGCGGCUUAGCCGAGAUGUGAUGACGAGGAGCCACGUGCUCUGAAGUGCUAGAUACCACGCUUCCAGGAAAAGCCUCUAAGCUUCAGUCAUGGAUUGACCGUACCGCAAACCGACACAGGUGGGCAGGAUGAAAAUUCUCAGGCGCUUGAGAGAACCCAGGAGAAGGAACUCGGCAAAUUGAUACCGUAACUUCGGGAGAAGGUAUGCCCCUAGUAGGUAAAGUCCCUCGCGGAUGGAGCCAAACGGGGUCGCAGAGAAUCGGUGGCUGCGACUGUUUAAUAAAAACACAGCACUCUGCAAACACGAAAGUGGACGUAUAGGGUGUGACGCCUGCCCGGUGCCGGAAGGUUAAGUGAUGGGGUGCAAGCUCUUGAUCGAAGCCCCGGUAAACGGCGGCCGUAACUAUAACGGUCCUAAGGUAGCGAAAUUCCUUGUCGGGUAAGUUCCGACCUGCACGAAUGGCGUAACGAUGGCCACACUGUCUCCUCCUGGGACUCAGCGAAGUUGAAAUGUUUGUGAAGAUGCAAUCUCCCCGCGGCUAGACGGAAAGACCCCAUGAACCUUUACUGCAGCUUUACAUUGGACUUUGACAAGAUUUGUGUAGGAUAGGUGGGAGCCUGAGAAACGUGGUCGCCAGAUCAUGUGGAGGCGUCGUUGAAAUACCACCCUGAUGUUGUUGAGGUUCUAACCUAGGUCCGUAAUCCGGACUGGGGACCGUGUAUGGUAGGCAGUUUGACUGGGGCGGUCUCCUCCCAAAGAGUAACGGAGGAGUGCGAAGGUAACCUAGGUACGGUCGGAAAUCGUACUGAUAGUGCAAUGGCAAAAGGUUGCUUGACUGCGAGACGGACAGGUCGAGCAGGUGCGAAAGCAGGUCAUAGUGAUCCGGUGGUUCUGUAUGGAAGGGCCAUCGCUCAACGGAUAAAAGGUACUCUGGGGAUAACAGGCUGAUUCCUCCCAAGAGUUCAUAUCGACGGGGGAGUUUGGCACCUCGAUGUCGGCUCAUCACAUCCUGGGGCUGUAGCCGGUCCCAAGGGUAUGGCUGUUCGCCAUUUAAAGUGGUACGUGAGCUGGGUUUAAAACGUCGUGAGACAGUUUGGUCCCUAUCUGCCGUGGGCGCUGCAAGUUUGAGGGGACCUGCUCCUAGUACGAGAGGACCGGAGUGGACGCACCUCUGGUGGACCAGUUAUCAUGCCAAUGGUAUAGCUGGGUAGCUAAGUGCGGAAGAGAUAAACGCUGAAAGCAUCUAAGCGUGAAACUCGCCUCGAGAUGAGACUUGCCUCUGGCUUUAAGCCAGCUAAAGAGUCGUUCAAGACCAGGACGUUGAUAGGUCAGGUGUGGAAGUGCAGUAAUGCAUUAAGCUUAACUGAUACUAAU